UAAGACGUAGGGCGCGAGCGUUGUCCGGAUUUAUUGGGCGUAAAGAGCUCGUAGGCGGCUUGUCGCGUCGUCCGUGAAAACCUGCAGCUCAACUGCAGGCUUGCGGUCGAUACGGGCAGGCUAGAGUUCGGUAGGGGAGACUGGAAUUCCUGGUGUAGCGGUGAAAUGCGCAGAUAUCAGGAGGAACACCGGUGGCGAAGGCGGGUCUCU
rnacentral:rRNA from 1 species